UACGGGGGGUGCAAGCGUUGUCCGGAUUUACUGGGCGUAAAGGGCGCGUAGGCGGUUGUAUCAGUCGGGCUUAUAAGUGCGGGGCUCAACCCCGUGAUGGGUUCGGGACGGUAUGACUGGGGCGCGGUCGAGGGAGACGGAAUGCCGGGUGUAGUGGUGAAAUGCGUAGAGAUCCGGCGGAACACCGGUGGUGAGGGCGGUCUCCUGGUCCGAGGGCCGACGCUGAGGCGCGAGAGCGUGGGGAGCGAACCGG
rnacentral:rRNA from 1 species